AUUUACCGCUGUCGGCAGGCCUAACACCUGCAAGUCGAACGAGUGGCGGAAGGGUGAGUAAUGUCUGGGAAACUGCCUGAUGGAGGGGGAUAACUACUGGAAACGGUAGCUAAUACCGCAUACCAUCGGAUGUGCCCAGAUGGGAUUAGCUAGUAGGUGGGGUAACGGCUCACUUAGGCGACGAUCCCUAGCUUGGCUGAGAGGGUGCCCAGCCACGCUGGAACUGAGACACGGUCCAGACUCCUACGGGAGGCAGCAGUGGGGAAUAUGGCACAAUGGGCGCAAGCCUGAUGCAGCCAUGCCGCGUGUAUGAAGAAGGCCUGCGGGUUGUAAAGUACUUUCAGCGGGGAGUCGUUACCCGCAGAAGAAGGACCGGCUAACUCCGUGCCAGCCGCCGCGGUAAUAC
rnacentral:rRNA from 1 species